rnacentral:rRNA from 1 species
CCUACGGGGGGCUGCAGUGGGGAAUAUUGGACAAUGGGGGGAACCCUGAUCCAGCCAUGCCGCGUGUGUGAAGAAGGCCCUCGGGUUGUAAAGCACUUUCAGUGAGGAAGAACGCCUGGUGGUUAAUACCCAUCAGGAAAGACAUCACUCACAGAAGAAGCACCGGCUAACUCCGUGCCAGCAGCCGCGGUAAUACGGAGGGUGCGAGCGUUAAUCGGAAUUACUGGGCGUAAAGCGCGCGUAGGUGGCUUGAUAAGCCGGUUGUGAAAGCCCCGGGCUCAACCUGGGAACGGCAUCCGGAACUGUCAAGCUAGAGUGCAGGAGAGGAAGGUAGAAUUCCCGGUGUAGCGGUGAAAUGCGUAGAGAGCGGGAGGAAUACCAGUGGCGAAGGCGGCCUUCUGGACUGACACUGACACUGAGGUGCGAAAGCGUGGGUAGCAAACAGGAUUAGAUACCCUAGUAGUC